rnacentral:lncRNA from 10 species
GUGGGAGGGGCCUCCCUGGGCCAACCAGGCCAGAGCUGAAUGGGGGCAGAAGGCAUUGGAUGGGCCCUUUUGAGCCACGCAGGGAACGUGGUGGCAGCUCCUGCCAGUUGCUUGGCAACAGCCUGGCUGUGGAACUUCAAACUCUGAGCUGAUCUGGAGGGUCUGGGGGCCCUGGUAGGGAGCAGGACUGGGGGGCUGUGUGGGAGUGACACAUAAGUGUGAAAGUGGGCAUGAGGGCAGCAGAAGGAGUAAAGCAUGAGGGAGGAGGUCUCCUCUGGCACCUGAGCUGAAGGGCCCUCAGGGCAGCCCCAAGGCCGCAGCCUCCCGGUUGCCCUGCAGCCUGGCUGCUGAGUCCCAGCUGCUUCAGCUGGCUAGAGGUCCUUACUUAGUUGUCUCAAGCACCUGAAGCCUACCUUGCCCACCUGCGAGUCACUCGCCCCACAAGCAGGGCACCCAUCUGAGUCCUGUGCCCAGGGCAAACCCCACAACUGCCUGGUAGUGGAGCCACGACAGGGCAGUCAGUGCUCAGGAGGUGCCACACAGCCCCCAAGCACAGAUGCGGCCACACAAAGCCGCUAUUAUAGUUAACAGGUUGAGCCAGAUUCUCUGUGUGCCACCCACCGCACUGCACAGGGCCUCUAGGACCCCAUCCCUGCCUGGGUUCCUGGGGCCCCUCAGGCCGCCACCCACUCAACCAGAGGGCCAGAUCUGAGGGGCAGGGCUCGCUGGCCGCAGGAAUUUGGUGAUUGCCGUCGGUUCUGAAGCCAAAGAAGGAAGCAGACCUCUCCGCGCAGGCAGGCAAUCUGUGUCCAGAAAAUGCUCGGAGUUCUCCGGACACAGCAGCCUCUAGAGGCGGUCUUGGGGAAUUGGGAGGCGGGAAGAAGGCCACAGUCUCCCCUGGGGUCCUGCUGUGUGAUCUGCGCCGGCCGGGAAGCAUUGAUCUUGAGUCCAAAAGAGGAGAGAAAUCGCACCCCGAGAAGAAGGCGCGAGCUCGGUGGCUCCAGUCCUGCGGGAGCAGAGGGGACAGCAGACCUGCCCAGGUAGAGGGAGACGACUUCUGAGGUGCUGGAGGCUAUUUCUGGAUUUUGCGCGGCCUGGCGCUGGGUGCCACAGCCGGUGAAUGCGGGAGACCUGCAGCAGACCCGGCGCUGCCGCCAGAACCUGCUCACUACGCUCCACACAGCUCGUCAGGGCCCAACCUGAGCACUCCGCGGGCCUGCGGGGAUGGGGCGGAAAGGCUGGCUGCUGUCUUCGGACCCUGAACCCUCCCCUCUUUUUCUCUUUUCUUCAUGUCUACACAAAGUGAGUGACAGAAGCCCCCUCUUAUGCGGAUAUCCCAGGGGACCCCAGAUGAGGGGGUGGAUGACCAAGCCCACCCUCCACUCAGCCGAACUUCCCCAUGGGCUUGCUGGGGUGGGAAGUUGCUGUGCUCACGACCUGUGUCACAGCCCUCAUGGCUGCCGGGCAGGGGCAGGGUUGGGGGACAGUGGUUCUGACAGUUAGGGUGGCUCCCCACCCUCAGUAUCCCGCAAACACUUCUGCAGAGCUUCCAGUGACCCCCACACCACGAACUUCCACUUUCAGCUGAAAAGUUCUCUCACUCUCCCAUCCCAGAGAAAAAGCCUCUUACCCCUCCAUUUCAACUCACCCCUAGGGUGAUGAGUUCUGUAGACCCUCCACCACACAGCUUCUUCCAGAAAAGCAGACCCAAGUCAGUCUUGUCUAGGAUAAUUCGAAUAGGCUGGGGACUGGCUGUUAUGCCUGUGUGCAUGUGUACUGUGGCUGCAGGUCUGGCAAGGGUGGUCUGGAGGGCUCCUGGAGGUUCCCAGAAAGUCAAUUCUUUAGAUCUCUCCUAGGCCAGGCUAGUGCUGGGAACUGGUAGGUCCCACUUACAGCACCAGAGAGGAUUCUGGCCUUAAUUUCUGAUUCAAUGUGCCCCAGUCUCUGCAGCUUGCUGGGUAAGCGUCUAGAGCCCCAGAACUUCAGCAGAUGUUGGUCCCGCCACAAUGUAUCUGCGUAUCGCACAACAGACUCCCACCAACACAUACACCAUCAGCACACAAUUACACACACUCAUACAGAACCAUACCCACCCACUUGCAGUGAUGGUCUCCCACAGUGAUCCACACUCCCCACUACCUUUACUCCCCCAAUUACAUUCUGUCACACACAAGUAAAUACAGGGAAAAUGCACAGCUCACACAUAAUUACAUCUCACACACAAUUACACCCAUAAAAUUCAAGAUGAUCCACUUCAGAAGCAGUCACACAUUUCACAGAAAAAUAGAUUUACAAAGAGAAACUAAUACAUAUUCUCCCAAACAUCAACACGAUUCAUACAUAAUCACAAACAAUGGUUGAUUACACAAUUACCCAAAAAGAAACAGUCACAUUCACAUACGGUUACACACACACCACUACAAGCCCGUGCAUACAAUGAUAGUUUCGAUUUGCAACUUAAGCAGAAACAAGCAUUUACACGCAAGAAUUGCAAACACAAUUAUACACUUAAAUACCAUUAUAAAUAUUCACUAUUUGCUCGCAUUGCUGAUUGCUCACAUUAUCACAAACACACCACACACACACACACACACACACACACACACACGACUCUCACAUCCAAAGAAAUCCACAUCCUCUCAGGCACUGGUAAUCCCAGGAGAGCCUGGCUCUCCCUGCUCUCCUCAACUCUGCCUUCUCUCCAUCUGUCCUCUUCCUUUCCUCUCUCCAGAGCCUUAGGGUCCUGCCCCGCAACAUGUCUCUCAAGUUCAGGUACCAAGGGCUGCCCCUGAAGCAUCAGCUCACACACCAAACCCAAGUAGCUGAAGGACGCUAGGGUCCGCAAGGAGCAGGCAGCCCUGACUCCGGAUCCGGAGGCUUUUAUUUAUUUUUUUCACAUAAAUUACACAAGCACUUUAUAAAAUGGUUACACAGAAAACACCUUAUAAGUGCAUAAAUUAACAC